rnacentral:sRNA from 1 species
CUUUAGCCCUGAUUGAUGUAAUUGCAUUUGUCUUUUUUAAAGCAAAAAUAUAGCACAGAGCAAGAACCCAU